rnacentral:rRNA from 1 species
AUUGAACGCUGGCGGCAGGCCUAACACAUGCAAGUCGAACGGUAGCACAGAGAGCUUGCUCUCGGGUGACGAGUGGCGGACGGGUGAGUAAUGUCUGGGAAACUGCCCGAUGGAGGGGGAUAACUACUGGAAACGGUAGCUAAUACCGCAUAACGUCGCAAGACCAAAGUGGGGGACCUUCGGGCCUCACACCAUCGGAUGUGCCCAGAUGGGAUUAGCUAGUAGGUGGGGUAAUGGCUCACCUAGGCGACGAUCCCUAGCUGGUCUGAGAGGAUGACCAGCCACACUGGAACUGAGACACGGUCCAGACUCCUACGGGAGGCAGCAGUGGGGAAUAUUGCACAAUGGGCGCAAGCCUGAUGCAGCCAUGCCGCGUGUAUGAAGAAGGCCUUCGGGUUGUAAAGUACUUUCAGCGGGGAGGAAGGCGGUGGAGUUAAUAACUUCACCGAUUGACGUUACCCGCAGAAGAAGCACCGGCUAACUCCGUGCCAGCCGCCGCCGUAAGAC